rnacentral:rRNA from 1 species
AACUAAUUACAAUAUCACCUAAGAACCCUUAAGCAAUAUUGAGUAAUUNUANANNNAUAUAGAAGAUUUUAUGUUAAAACUAGUAACAAGAAGAAGAAACUUCUCUUACAAUGCAAACGUAAAUCAGUCAGGACAGACCACUGAUAAUUAACACUAAUGAAAAUAAAGUAGCAACUUAACAAGAAAACCCUACUAAAUUACAUGUUAACCUAACACCAGAGCAUUAAAAGAAAGAUUAAAAGAAAGAGAAGGAACUCGGCAAACAUUAACCUCGCCUGUUUACCAAAAACAUCGCCUCUUGCCUUAAAUAUAAGAGGUCCAGCCUGCCCAGUGACUCUGUUCAACGGCCGCGGUAUCCUAACCGUGCGAAGGUAGCGUAAUCACUUGUUCUUUAAAUGAGGACUAGUAUGAAUGGCACCACGAAGGUUAUACUGUCUCCUCUUUUUAAUCAGUAAAACUAAUCUCCCCGUGAAGAAGCGGGGAUAAACAUAUAAGACGAGAAGACCCUAUGGAGCUUUAAACUAUGUAACACUUGCACUAACCCCAUAAAAAUUUCAGAAAAAUACUCUUUACCCAUGCAAGAUUGCUACCAGUUUUAGGUUGGGGUGACCACGGAGCAAAAAACAACCUCCACAUUGAAAGGAAUUUACUCCUUAGCCAAGAGCCACAUCUCUACGCAUCAUUACAAUGACAUUAAUUGACCCAAUAUAUUGAUCAACGAACCAAGUUACCCUAGGGAUAACAGCGCAAUCCACUUCAAGAGCUCCUAUCGACAAGUGGGUUUACGACCUCGAUGUUGGAUCAGGGUAUCCCGGUGGUGCAGCCGCUACCAAAGGUUCGU